rnacentral:rRNA from 1 species
AUGACGAUCUUAAGCUGGAACUGCCGGGGCUUGGGCCACCAUGGUACGGUUCGGGAAUUGGUGUGCCUAGUGCAUACCCAUCGCCCCUCUGUUGUGUUCAUUUCAGAGACACGACAGUGUGAAGAGAGCGUUAAAAGAAUAAGAGAGAGAAUAGGACUCAAGAAUUGUAUCACCCAUGAUGGGGUUGGCAAGGGUGCCGGCAUCGCCCUCUUUUGGGACGAUAGC